rnacentral:lncRNA from 1 species
GCCACUGUAUGUAUGUAUUUCAUGCGAAUUCAGAGCUGUACACUUUAUUCAAUAUAAAAGGUUGUUUUGUUCUUUGGCAAUUAGAGUACUAAUUUCAUUAAGUGCAUAUUCUACAUUUUUUGAACCACAAAAAUUCAGUUCAUAAAUUACAGACACCAAGGUUACUGUGAAGUUUGUAAAGCUGAAGUUGUUUAAACUGUGUUAUACUGUUAAAGGUGAAAUGGCAUUGGUUAUGUUUUCACUUGUAAGUGAUGCUUGAUUUGUGCAUAUUUCUCUCCUGAUUCAGACGAGAUGACUUUUACACUGGAGAAAGCAAUAUUAUGGAUUAUGGACUUGCAUUAUAGCCGGUAUCUACAUUUUUGAACCACAAAAAUUCAGUUCAUAAAUUACAGACACCAAGGUUACUGUGAAGUUUGUAAAGCUGAAGUUGUUUAAACUGUGUUAUACUGUUAAAGGUGAAAUGGCAUUGGUUAUGUUUUCACUUGUAAGUGAUGCUUGAUUUGUGCAUAUUUCUCUCCUGAUUCAGACGAGAUGACUUUUACACUGGAGAAAGCAAUAUUAUGGAUUAUGGACUUGCAUUAUAGCCGGAAACAACUGUUUGAAGUUAAAAACAUCUUAAUGAAGGAUUUGCCUCUUCCAGACAUGCAGCUUUUCACAGGACAUUUAUUGAUGGACUGAAGUCAUGUGGAUUACUUUGUGAUGUGUUUAUCGGCUGUUUGGACUCUCAUUCUGACGGCACCCAUUGCAUUAUUCUUUUAGGUCCUGCGAUGAAACCUCUGAAACAUUUGGUGCACACCCGUCGAAAAGCUGUCAUCUCUUCUGGUGUCUGCAGAGGAGGAUCAAAGCGGGAACAGGCAGCCAACGAGAGAGAGGGAAAGAAAGAGAGAUUUCGGGGUGAACCAGAGGACGCAGCCUCUUCUGUUGAACAGGGUAACCCAGUUGCUGCCAGAUUGAAGGAAGUCUGCUUCUCUGUAAACAUAUUUAAUUAAGACAUCAAACUUCAAACCGUAUGAUGAAAAAGAAUGCCGAUAAGGAGAAAGACGGUUCCAGGGUCGAACUGUGUGCCUCUGCUGCUUUUCUCUGAUUUAGAAACAGGCUUCUUUUGAUUAAAUAAUCAUUGUUUUGUAGAAUUGCAAGUUGCGGAUCAGACAUGUGCAUAGACACAGCAGAAAUUUAUUGAGAUGAUGCAGAAGUGCUGCUGUUUUUAAGACCUCUGAAUAAAACCUCUUUAGAUCAGGGGUGCUCAUGCUGCGUUCCACCGAUUUCCAACGUCCUACUUGGAAAAGUGCAAUAGAAUGCCCCAAACCGGACUUCCAGCUAGGAAAUGGAAAUCCAGAAUUUGGAUUAGCAUAUGAUUUCUUCCAUAUUUUUAUAUGGUAGAAAUAUUCUGAAUUCAGACGUUCUUUUCAGACUCCUGAACACGCCCCCAUCUGCCAUUGGUCAGAAAAACAGAUAGUCCCGUCCUAAUCUUAUGUCAUAGAGUGCAACAGUCUGAAACAUUUCUCAAUAGUGUAAUUGAUUUUUAACAGUAACUUAUAAACCUUUAAAGACAGACCCACUGUGAGCUAUGAGAAUCGGUUAAUCGAUUGUAAAUGCUUUUGUUGAAACUAUUAGCUCACAUUAUUUAAAGGGAUAGUUCACCCAAAAAUGAAAAUUCUCUCAUUGAUUACUCUCCCUCAUGUUGGUCCAAACCAUAAGACCUUACGUUCAUCUUCGGAACACAAAAUAAGAUAUUUUUAGUAUAGAAAAUUAGCUCACAUUAUUUAAAGGGAUAGUUCACCCAAAAAUGAAAAUUCUCUCAUUGAUUACUCUCCCUCAUGUUGGUCCAAACCCAUAAGACCUUCGUUCAUCUUCGGAACACAAAAUAAGAUAUUUUUGAUGAAAUCCGAGAGCUUUCUGACCCUGCAUAGACAGCAACAGAACUACCAUGUUCAAUGCGCAGAAAGGUAGUAAGGACAUUAUUAAAAUAGUCAAUGUGGCAUCAGGGGUUCAACCUUAAUUUUAUUAAGCUGCGAGAAUACAUUUUGUGUUCAAAGAAAACAAAAAUAUUGACUUUAUUCAACAAUUUCUUCUCUUCUGUGUCAGUCGACAUGUGUUCACAGGAGUACCAUGAUGCAUGAUGCUGAGAACCGUUUUCACGUCCAUGUUGCAAGGAAUUGUGGGCAGUUUUAGCCCAAAAACCAUAAAGGACCCACCAGUAUUACUGUACAAUCUGGGUGGCCUUGCUAUUAUAUAGCUUUCGUCAGGUAUUACAAGCUUUCUUGGUUGGAACUGAACUCUUCAGGACAGUUGAUCUUGGCAGCGCUGUGUUAUUGCCUGAGUUUAGAUCCAGUCUCCCCAGUGCACACCUCAGGUGAAAUGAAGCACCACAAUCUACUGAUGCCACAUUAAAGGCAUAGUUCACCCAAAAAUGAAAAUUUGUUAAAAAUUGAUUGUUAACUUAAUCUCCGGCCAAGAUGUACAUGAGUUUGUUUCUUCAUUAGAACAGAUUUGGAGAAAUGUAACAUUACAUCUCUUGCUCACCAAUGGAUCCUCUGCAGUGAAUGGGUGCCGUCAGAAUCAGAGUACAAACAGCUGAUAAAAACAUCACAAUAAUCCACAAAUAAUCCACACCACUCCAGUCCAUCAGUUAACAUUUUGUGAAGCAAAA